UCCAUUUAUGCAGCGAAAAGCUCUGUAAAAUUUGAAGGGGGGAAAUUGCAGGCACAAAAUGAAUUCAAUUUUCAAUUUUUACAAGAAAAACAAAUAGACCGUUGUUGGGCCAAAAGAGGAACUACACUGUUAAUGUCAUGAUAAAAUCUCCAUACUAAAAAUAUAAAACCGACAUUGACAGUCCGCAUUUUGACCUAAAAUAUAGUAAUUAAAUAGGAAAGAACAUUUUAUGAAAAAG
rnacentral:misc_RNA from 1 species